UCUCUAAGAUGUUCAUUUUAUACCAAAUCAUGUUAUUGACCUGUUGCUAAUUAGCCUAAUUAGCUGCAAAGUGUUUCUCCAGCUGUUUCUUUUUAGUUUCGCCUUCUCAUUUUCUUUUUUGAAACGUCUAUUAAAUAAAAAAUGAGCCACAUUUUUUCAUGAAACAGUAAAAUGUCUCGGUCCAAGCUCCACACCAGCUGGUGGCGGUAAUGCAAUAAUUUAUUGUUCACCAAAAAUAAAAGAAGAACGCCUGCGCGCUCUAGAGCUCAACGCUGAAUGCUGGCGAUGAAGGCAUUAAACAUUAGUGCACUUCAUUCUGUCCUGUCAUGUUUCUGACUCAUGCGGAGGUAUGGGGGACAUACUGGGAGUGCGUUUUCACGCCGUUCACGGUGAUCAUCUGCUCCCUCACAGCCGCACUGUACUAUCUGUGGGGCCGCAAGUGUCAGAGACCAGCUCUGGUUUGCAGUGAGGCUUUCAGUGCAUUCCUCUUCAAGCACUGUCCUGUGGUAGCUGAGCGCUUCAGUCCCACUCCGUGGUGCUGGGGAGGCCGACUUCAAACGCUGGUCUUUGCUGUCCUCAAAUCCAGACCCCCUGUCAGUUAUCGCAAUGAGCUGAUCCGUACAGUGGAUGGUGGUCAGAUCUCUCUUGACUGGUUGGACAAUCAGGCCAGUGUGACCUACCCAGAAUCCUCCACGCGUCCCACAGUGCUCAUCCUCCCAGGGAUUACAGGAAACAGCCAGCAGUCCUAUGUGCUUCACGCCGUUAGCCAGGCCACACGCCACGGUUACAGAUGUGUGGUCUUCAACAACAGAGGUCUUGGAGGGGAGGAGCUGCUGACACCAGUCACCUACUGUGCUGCCAAUACUUCAGAUCUUGAGUGUGUGGUGCAGCAUGUCAAAGGGCUCUACCCCAGUGCUCCUGUGCUUGGGGCUGGUGUGUCUUUGGGAGGCAUGGUGUUGUUAAACUACCUGGCCCGUAAGCACACAGAGUCAGGAUUGGUUGCCGGUAUCACCAUCUCCGUACCCUGGGAUGCAUUGAAGUUCUCCAGCUCGAUGGAGGAACCGCUCAACUGGCUGCUCUUCAACAGGCACGUCACGAAAUCCUUGCACCAAAUUCUCAACAGGCACAGGAAGAUUUUAGAGAAAGUGGUGGAUGUUGACUAUGUCCUGAAGGCUCGGUCCAUCCGGGAGUUUGACGAACGCUUCACGUCUCUGAUGUUUGGUUAUAGCUCAUGUAUGGAUUAUUACCGCGAUGCCAGCCCAGGCAAAAAGCUCCCCAAUACAGCCGUACCCAUCCUGUGUCUCAAUGCCGCUGAUGACCCUUUCUCUCCACAGACUGCCUUCCCAGUGUCUAUAGUCCAGGAUCUUCCUAACGUCGCCCUGGUAUUGACGGCACACGGGGGACACAUUGCCUUCUUGCAGGGUUUUUUUCCUCGAGGUGAGAACUACAUGGAGCGCUUGUUUGGCCAGUUUGUGCACGCAGUCUUUGAACACCAGGAGGAAAUGAAGCAAGCCUGUGGUAUCAGAGAGGAGCAGAUGAAGGACUAACGAGCAAUAUGAAGGCACUUACACUGAAGUAAUACAACAUUUGCAGCUGCAACUCUGCUCAUCUACCUCAUGACCUCAGGUUCAUGUUCAAGUCAUGUAGAAAUAAAAAAAUGACAGUGAAGUAAAAUCAGUAAAGCUAUUUUGAAGUAUUUAAUACAUUUUAGUCAAUUUGAAAAUAUUGCUGAUCAAUUGAUUGCUACCUACUUUCAGUCACAAAGGCCGUCUGUGCACCGCACACCUGUAGUAUGUAGACUGCACUGUAGAGUUCAAGUGCUCUGCUUGUUGCUAUUUAAAAAAAGUGAAGAGUUGGUUAUUAAAAUUAAAAACAGCAUUAUUGUUGUUUUCUUCUUGCUAAUUAUGUUUUUUUCCCUUUUGCAUCAAAUGCUUAUUUAGUUUUGAGCCUUCAAGAAGUGUUUUCCUCGGGGUUUGUGGCAUGCCUUAAAGGAUGAAACUUUCCUGUGUUUAUACGCUGCAUGUUGUACAGUAAACGACACCAGUGGUAAAUGAGCCGACACUGGGUAAAGACCAUUAACGCCCUGUGUGGUGCUUCAGUAUCUGCUGCUAUAAAGUGUAAUUAAGUAUCGUAAGCAUCACACAAGGACCAGAUCAGCAUGUACAUGUACUGAAUGUAUUUUUAUUAUCAGUAGACAGUACAUCAGCUUUGUUUUUGUAUUACCAACAGUGCACUGAUUAAUAUGUAGCUUUACUGUGCUAGGUGGUAUUAGUGUAGGAUUCAUGCCAUUUUUAAAUGACGCCACUGCUGGCUAUAAAAGGAAGUGUUUUCAAUCAUCGGCAUGAAGAAAAUAGGUGAUAAUGGUGCUAAUUGGUGGCUUUUAAUUGUCAGCGUGAGGGUGGAUGAGAAUUUAAUUUUGCUUUUUCAGAAGUAAAAGAGGCUUUUCAUGAAUGUCACGAAUCCAUCAGCUAUUUGCAUGUUUACCACAUUCACCUGCCUUUUAAUAUCUUUUUUUUUUAAACUCACGCCUUAUUUAUAAACUUUAUGUAUGGGCUGUAAAGACAAUCACGGUGUUAUUGCAAUAUCAUGUAAUGGUGCAAUAUUUGGGCAUUGUAUGUUCGAUGGUGUAUCUUGUAAUUACACUACAAUUAAAGGGUGAUAAAGAUCGA